UGGAAGUAAGUUGGCAGACAAUCUUCCUCUGCUGGAACAGCUUCUCUUCCUGAGGGAGUGUGACCUGGAAGUGGAAGUCAGAGAAAUUCUUUCCUAAGUUGCUUUUGGCCGCGUUUAUCCAAGUCACAGAAAUCGAACUCGAACAAUAGAUCUGAUGUUUCCAGAAGGUUCUUAAGAAGAGUUGCCUGAAAAAUUGGGAGAAGGAAGCACGCCAAGCAGGAAGGCCUAGCAGAGGAACACUGUCCUGUAGAUGCUGAAGCUGACGAGGCUGCCCAGGUUCAGGAUGGGAUUCACCUGCUCAUCUGAAUCUUCUUUGAGCCACCCGCCUUCUCAUAUCCCUCAAAAAGCAGCUGCCUGAGGUCUCCAGGAUGACAGCAAACCAGAUGGUACUCCAGCCACACCUCUCGCUGAGUGUGAGCUCACCAACUCCCAGCUCUCCCCUCUCCCACAUGGCCCCAUGCCCACAGGAAGUAGCCAGACUGGGGCUGAUGCCCCUAUAUCCAAGGACUCUGGGAUGUUUGAUUGAAAGUGAGACCUCCAGCUCUCUGACAUCUCUAUAUCCAAGAAGUCUGGGAUGAUUGGAAGCAUCACCGAGCCCCUGGCCUGAGAGUUGCCUUGGUCCAGACUUCAACUUCCAGCCUGCCAAGUGCUGACCCUUCUCAGGGAGGGUCAGAACCACUC